UUCUACACUGCCAUAUAAUCCAGAUUAUCUGUUUUGAUUUUAUAUGGCAAUGUAGAGG
rnacentral:pre_miRNA from 1 species